GAGGUAGUAGAUUGGUUGGUGGGGAAUCGUCAGACCUAGAACUCGAAGGUAAAAGCGAGGAUACAAGACACGAAUUUAUAUAGGUUCGGGCUGCUAGAGUAGCGUAAUACCCUACGUCUUGUUUGGGGUGUUGUAUAUUGUGCCCUGCGCUUGGGUGUUAUUUGGUGUUGAGGAUUUGAUCCUUUGUUGUGGUUCUAUAUAUGCCAAUCUAGGUACCCCUGCCCUCCUUUAUAUACUCCAGGGGGUGGGAUUAAUAGUCGGUUAUAAGGUAGGAGUCCUAGUAGGAUUAUAGGGUAUGAGUCCUAGUAGGAUUACAAGGGAAUCCUAGUAGGAGUCCAUCAUCUUCCUUCCUUGCGGAUACUAAGGAUCUAUCCCCGGCAAGCCCCCGAGCGCUUCAUAGUUGAACGCAGCAGUCUUCGAGUACUUUCAGAUCCUUGCCGAGUAGUUUAGUGCUUCUCGAGUACUUUGUCUAGCUGAAUCUUCAAAGUU
rnacentral:lncRNA from 1 species